CCGUACACAAAAGCGCAUGUGCUGUGAGCUCGAUGAGUAGGGCGGGACACGUGGUAUCCUGUCUGAAUAUGGGGGGACCAUCCUCCAAGGCUAAAUACUCCUGACUGACCGAUAGUGAACCAGUACCGUGAGGGAAAGGCGAAAAGAACCCCGGCGAGGGGAGUGAAAAAGAACCUGAAACCGUGUACGUACAAGCAGUGGGAGCACAGGUUUACCUGUGUGACUGCGUACCUUUUGUAUAAUGGGUCAGCGACUUAUAUUCUGUAGCAAGGUUAACCGUAUAGGGGAGCCGGAGGGAAACCGAGUCUUAAUUGGGCGUUAAGUUGCAGGGUAUAGACCCGAAACCCGGUGAUCUAGCCAUGGGCAGGUUGAAGGUUGGGUAACACUAACUGGAGGACCGAACCGACUAAUGUUGAAAAAUUAGCGGAUGACCUGUGGCUGGGGGUGAAAGGCCAAUCAAACCGGGAGAUAGCUGGUUCUCCCCGAAAGCUAUUUAGGUAGCGCCUCGUGAAUUCAUCUCCGGGGGUAGAGCACUGUUUCGGCUAGGGGGCCAUCCCGGCUUACCAACCCGAUGCAAACUGCGAAUACCGGAGAAUGUUAUCACGGGAGACACACGGCGGGUGCUAACGUCCGUCGUGAAGAGGGAAACAACCCAGACCGCCAGCUAAGGUCCCAAAGUCAUGGUUAAGUGGGAAACGAUGUGGGAAGGCCCAGACAGCCAGGAUGUUGGCUUAGAAGCAGCCAUCAUUUAAAGAAAGCGUAAUAGCUCACUGGUCGAGUCGGCCUGCGCGGAAGAUGUAACGGGGCUAAACCAUGCACCGAAGCUGCGGCAGCGAACGUAUCACCCAAGACAACUUUACGGAGUUGACGAUUGACGGAGCGAAGCGACGUCAAAGCGUUCAUUAAAGUCGAGUUGGCUUAGGGAUACGUUCGUUGGGUAGGGGAGCGUUCUGUAAGCCUGUGAAGGUGUGUCGUGAGGCAUGCUGGAGGUAUCAGAAGUGCGAAUGCUGACAUAAGUAACGAUAAAGCGGGUGAAAAGCCCGCUCGCCGGAAGACCAAGGGUUCCUGUCCAACGUUAAUCGGGGCAGGGUGAGUCGACCCCUAAGGCGAGGCCGAAAGGCGUAGUCGAUGGGAAACGGGUUAAUAUUCCCGUACUUGGUGUUACUGCGAAGGGGGGACGGAGAAGGCUAUGUUGGCCGGGCGACGGUUGUCCCGGUUUAAGCGUGUAGGUGUGUGUUCCAGGUAAAUCCGGUUCACUUUAACACUGAGGC
rnacentral:rRNA from 1 species